UUUCUGGAUCAUUACUGACACUGAGGAACGAAAGCAUGGGUAGCGAAGAGGAUUAGAUACCCUCGUAGUCCAUGCCGUAAACGAUGUGUGUUAGACGUUGGAAAUUUAUUUUCAGUGUCGCAGGGAAACCGAUAAACACACCGCCUGGGGAGUACGACCGCAAGGUUAAAACUCAAAUGAAUUGACGGGGACCCGCACAAGUAGUGGAGCAUGUGGUUUAAUUCGAAGAUACGCGCAGAACCUUACCAACACUUGACAUGUUCGUCGCGACUCUAAGAGAUUAGAGUUUUCGGUUCGGCCGGACGAAACACAGGUGCUGCAUGGCUGUCGUCAGCUCGUGUCGUGAGAUGUUGGGUUAAGUCCCGCAACGAGCGCAACCCUCACUUUUAGUUGCCAUCAUUAAGUUGGGCACUCUGAAAGAACUGCCAGUGAUAAGCUGGAGGAAGGUGGGGAUGACGUCAAGUCCUCAUGGCCCUUACGUGUUGGGCUACACACGUGCUACAAUGGCAUCUACAACAGGAAGCAAAACGGCAACGUUAAGCAAAUCCCGAAAAGAUGCCUCAGUUCGGAUUGCACUCUGCAACUCGAGUGCAUGAAGCUGGAAUUACUAGUAAUCGUGGAUCAGCGUGCCACGGUGAAUGCGUUCCCGGGUCUUGUACACACCGCCCGUCACACCAUGGGAGUUGGUUCUACCUUAAGGCAAGGUUUUAAACCCUUGACCACGGUAUAGUCAGCGACUGGGGUGAAGUCGUAACAAGGUAGCCGUAGGGGAACCUGCGGCUG
rnacentral:rRNA from 1 species